AUGAACGUUGGUGGCGUGGAUUAGGCAUGCAAGUCGAGCGACAAGGCCCUUCGGGGCUGGAGGAGCGGCAAACGGGGUAGUAAUGCGUCGGAACGUACCCUUCACUCAGGGAUAGCGGCGGGAAACUGCCGGUAAUACCUGAUAAUCUCUGGCGAGCAAAGGUCAGCCGGUGAAGGAGUGGCCGACGUGGUAUUAGGUAGUUGGCGGGGUAAUGGCCCACCAAGCCUUAGAUGCCUAGGGGGUGUGAGAGCACGACCCCCACCACUGGGACUGAGACACUGCCCAGACACCUACGGGUGGCUGCAGUCGAGAAUCUUCGUCAAUGGGCGAAAGCCUGAACGAGCGACGCCACGUGCGGGAUGAAGGCCCUUGGGUUGUAAACCGCUGUCAGAGGGGAUGAAAGCGUAAGCUUGACAGAGCCUCAGAGGAAGCGCGGGCUAAGUACGU
rnacentral:rRNA from 1 species